rnacentral:rRNA from 1 species
UACGGAGGGUGCGAGCGUUGUCCGGAAUCACUGGGCGUAAAGGGCGCGUAGGCGGCGCGAGCAGUCGAUCGUGAAAGUCCGGAGCUCAACUCCGGAUCGGCGGUCGAUACUCUCGUGCUUGAGCACUGUAGAGGCAGAUGGAAUUCCGGGUGUAGCGGUGGAAUGCGUAGAGAUCCGGAAGAACACCGGUGGCGAAGGCGGUCUGCUGGGCAGUUGCUGACGCUGAUGCGCGACAGCGUGGGGAGCGAACAGG